rnacentral:rRNA from 1 species
AGUGAACGCUGGCGGUAGGCCUAACACAUGCAAGUCGAACGAGAUCUUCGGACCUAGUGGCGCACGGGGGCGUAACGCGUGGGAAUCUGCCCUUUGGUUCGUAAUAACUUCGGGAAACUGAAGCUAAUACCGGAUAAUGACUUCGGUCCAAAGAUUUAUCGCCAAAGGAUGAGCCCGCGUAAGAUUAGCUAGUUGGUGGGGUAAAGGCCUACCAAGGCGACGAUCUUUAGCUGGUCUGAGAGGGUGAUCAGCCACACUGGGACUGAGACACGGCCCAGACUCCUACGGGAGGCAGCAGUGGGGAAUAUUGGACAAUGGGCGAAAGCCUGAUCCAGCAAUGCCGCGUGAGUGAUGAAGGCCUUAGGGUUGUAAAGCUCUUUUACCCGGGAUGGUAAUGACAGUACCGGGAGAAGAAGCUCCGGCUAACUCCGUGCCAGCCGCCGCCGUAA